rnacentral:rRNA from 1 species
UACGGAGGGUGCUAGCGUUGUUCGGAAUUACUGGGCGUAAAGGGCUCGUAGGCGGCCAACUAAGUCAGACGUGAAAUCCCUCAGCUUAACUGGGGAACUGCGUCUGAUACUGGAUGGCUCGGAUCCGGAAGAGGGAUGCGGAAUUCCAGGUGUAGCGGUGAAAUGCGUAGAUAUCUGGAGGAACACCGGUGGCGAAGGCGGCAUCCUGGGCCGGUAUUGACGCUGAGGAGCGAAAGCCAGGGGAGCAAACGGG